GACGAACGCUGGCGGCGUGCUUAACACAUGCAAGUCGAACGGAAAGGCCCUGCUUUUGUGGGGUGCUCGAGUGGCGAACGGGUGAGUAACACGUGAGUAACCUGCCCUUGACUUUGGGAUAACUUCAGGAAACUGGGGCUAAUACCGGAUAGGAGCUCCUGCUGCAUGGUGGGGGUUGGAAAGUUUCGGCGGUUGGGGAUGGACUCGCGGCUUAUCAGCUUGUUGGUGGGGUAGUGGCUUACCAAGGCUUUGACUGGUAGCCGGCCUGAGAGGGUGACCGGCCACAUUGGGACUGAGAUACGGCCCAGACUCCUACGGGAGGCAGCAGUGGGGAAUAUUGCACAAUGGGCGGAAGCCUGAUGCAGCAACGCCGCGUGCGGGAUGACGGCCCUCGGGUUGUAAACCGCUUUCGCCUGUGACGAAGCGUGAGUGACGGUAAUGGGUAAAGAAGCACCGGCUAACUACGUG
rnacentral:rRNA from 1 species